GUCCGUGGCCGUACCAUCCUGAACAAGCCCUGAUCUCAUUGGGAGCUAAGCAGUCAGGCCUGGUCGGUACUUGGAUGGGGAAACAUUGUCUCACAAAGCAAACACAACAAAAACCAACAAGGGGCAGAACCAACAAGGGGCAGGA
rnacentral:rRNA from 1 species